GAUGAACGCUAGCGGCAGGCCUAACACAUGCAAGUCGAGGGAGAGGUUACCUUCGGGUAACCAAAACCGGCGCACGGGUGCGUAACGCGUAUACAAUCUGCCUUUCACAUAGGGAUAGCCCGAAGAAAUUUGGAUUAAUACCUAAUGGUAUAUAAGAGCGGCAUCGUUUUUAUAUUAAAGCUACGGUGGUGAAAGAUGAGUAUGCGUUCUAUUAGCUAGCUGGAGAGGUAACGGCUCCCCAAGGCGACGAUAGAUAGGGGUUCUGAGAGGGAUGUCCCCCACACUGGUACUGAGAUACGGACCAGACUCCUACGGGAGGCAGCAGUGAGGAAUAUUGGACAAUGGUCGGAAGACUGAUCCAGCCAUGCCGCGUGCAGAAGGAAGGUCCUAUGGAUUGUAAACUGCUUUUGUAAGGGAAGAAUAAGGAGUACGUGUACUUUGAUGACGGUACCUUACGAAUAAGCAUCGGCUAACUCCGUG
rnacentral:rRNA from 1 species